CACCGCUUGGGCACGGGCUGGCACAGCCUCCAGCGGCUGCUCCUCCUCAGCCUCAGCUCUCUGUGGGUCCCUCACAGAAGUCAGUUUGGUCCCAGGCACUGCUUUCAUGCUGAUUCCUUAUUUCCUGAAGGAAGCCUCCCCGGUGAGAUUGCACAAGUGAUUCCUGGGCCUGGUUAUCCGUCCUGCCCAUGGAGGAUUCCCCACGCUGCCUUCCCUUUGCUUCCCAAGAAAUGUUUUCAUUCCUUGCCGCGUUAGGAGGAGCCUCCCCACAGCCUCUUGCCGGUGGUUUUUCCAGGAGUUAAAGCCAGGAAAUCUCCAGUGAGCCUUGACCAGUGCAGUGAAGAGGAAAACCUCCCUGGCUGAGGAACGCCACGAGAGCCUCGAGAAAGGAAUCGGCUGCGGGUUCAGGAGCCGCAGGGAGAUGCAGAACCGUGCCCUGCGCUCUGCCCCGCACCACCCCAACUCUGGGAGGUGAAAAAGAUGAAACAGAGAAGGUGCACUUUGGGGUUCGUCCAGGAGUGCCUGGAAAGCGCCUGCAGGUCUCGGAUGGAGGAAAUCAAGGAUCAAACAUCCCCAGCAGCGCAGGUUUGGGGGGGCAGGACGCCAGCGGGGUCGGAGUUUGGAUCCCAGCCCGCAGCCAGGUCCUGCAGGUGCCCCUGGCUCUGUCCAUGGAUCCGGGAAUUUCACCUUCAGGAGCCUGCUGAUCCCUGUGCCUUCCCAGGAAUCAUCCAAACCCCGGGAUCGGACCCAAAACGUGACAGAGGGAAUCUUCCCCUCAGCUCCGGCUUCUCCUCCCGAUUAUAAAUCAGUCGGGUUAUUUACAUCCUCCCCUCGCCCUUCCCUUAAUGGCAGUCAAAUAAAAACG